rnacentral:lncRNA from 1 species
GCUUUUCCUCUUGCAGGAGCGACGCCGCGGUGCCGGGCCCGGCUGCACGCGAUGUCACACGGCUGAAAGCAGCACUUUUUGCCCCAAACUGAGCCACAACCCCGAUGGCAUCGAUGUGAGGCGGGAGGAACUCGUGGAGUUUCCUCACUGAAGCACGAGGGAUGUGCUGGAGCUUUCCCUUUCAUCCCAGCAGAGAAACCUCCCAGUGAAGGGUUCCAUGAGGUACUGGGAUGGAAACCAGGUUCUUACGGAGAUGAUGUUCCCAGCCAGGCUCUGGGCCGUGCUCAGACAUUUCCGUGUUUCCCUGCUCCUCUUGCCGCUUGCUUGGAUUCUUUCCUGGGCUUCCAGAGGUUGAUUUGCACUUCUUCCAGGGAACAAAUAUUUUUUUGGGUUGUUUGGAGGUAAGUUUUUCUCCUGGGAUGCUCACAGGUACUGCUCUGGUUUGUCUCAUUUUUGUGGGAAAGGCUGGUCUGAGCCUCUCCAA